rnacentral:rRNA from 1 species
GAAUUCGAUUUGGCGGCGUGGUUAAGACAUGCAAGUCGAACGAGAGAAUUGCUAGCUUGCUAAUAAUUCUCUAGUGGCGCACGGGUGAGUAACACGUGAGUAACCUGCCCCCGAGAGCGGGAUAGCCCUGGGAAACUGGGAUUAAUACCGCAUAGUAUCGAAAGAUUAAAGCAGCAAUGCGCUUGGGGAUGGGCUCGCGGCCUAUUAGUUAGUUGGUGAGGUAACGGCUCACCAAGGCGAUGACGGGUAGCCGGUCUGAGAGGAUGUCCGGCCACACUGGAACUGAGACACGGUCCAGACACCUACGGGUGGCAGCAGUCGAGAAUCAUUCACAAUGGGGGAAACCCUGAUGGUGCGACGCCGCGUGGGGGAAUGAAGGUCUUCGGAUUGUAAACCCCUGUCAUGUGGGAGCAAAUUAAAAAGAUAGUACCACAAGAGGAAGAGACGGCUAACUCUGUGCCAGCAGCCGCGGUAAUACAGAGGUCUCAAGCGUUGUUCGGAAUCACUGGGCGUAAAGCGUGCGUAGGCUGUUUCGUAAGUCGUGUGUGAAAGGCGCGGGCUCAACCCGCGGACGGCACAUGAUACUGCGAGACUAGAGUAAUGGAGGGGGAACCGGAAUUCACGGUGUAGCA